rnacentral:rRNA from 1 species
AAAAACAUCGCCUCCCGCAAAAAUCAACGUAUAGGAGGUCUUGCCUGCCCAGUGACUAUAAGUUAAACGGCCGCGGUAUUUUGACCGUGCAAAGGUAGCGCAAUCACUUGUCUUUUAAAUGAAGACCUGUAUGAAUGGUGGAACGAGGGCUUAACUGUCUCCCCCUUCAAGUCAAUGAAAUUGAUCUACCCGUGCAGAAGCGGGUAUAAUAAUACAAGACGAGAAGACCCUUUGGAGCUUAAGACAAAAGACCAACUAUGUCAAAAGUCCUAAAAAUAGGCUAAACCAAAUAGCACUGGUCCCAGUCUUCGGUUGGGGUGACCGCGGGAGAAAAUAAAGCUCCCAUGCGGACUGGGGCAACCCCCUAAAACUAAGAGAGACAUCUCUAAGGCACAGAAUAUCUGACCAAAAAGAUCCGGCCACGUGCCGACCAACGAACCAAGUUACCCUAGGGAUAACAGCGCAAUCCCCUUCCAGAGUCCAUAUCGACAAGGGGGUUUACGACCUCGAUGUUGGAUCAGGACAUCCUAAUGGUGCAGCCGCUAUUAAGGGUUC